AUAUAUUGCUAAAUGAUGAAUGUAAUGUGCAAGGAAGGGAUGACCGAUCACACGAACACUACCCUACAAGACGGAGCUAACUCAUACACCACUACACAUACAAAGUUUUUUACACAUACGCAAUAGUAACUUUUUGUAGUUAAAUGCCAAUCUCGGUAGUUAGAGUGGCAACAUUCAUUAACCCUAACUUUUGUAUGUAUAGGAGAGAGAUGCACGUACCACAAUGAACCGAUCAAAAUCUCCGCCAUGGUCGCCAUUCAUAUGAAAAGAAAAUUUUAAGUGAGUGGAUUACUAUGGUUGACUGGAUGCUGCAGCUUAUUUUGAGGAAAUAACAGCAGAAAUUGGUUUCGGAAGGCAAAGCGAGCUGCGACGCACAUCUGGUGCGUACAUACAAAACUAAAAAGAGAAGCAGAAAAAGGAUUGUCCCACUUUAGGCAGAUGGAUAUUUGCAAACUUCGGAGAAAGCUUAAGCUGGAUACCACCCAUAUACUCCCAUAUAGGAAGGUAGCUAUACUUGGUAUGGGUCUGGGGAAUCCUACCAGCAGUUCUUCAAGGCAUACAACGACAAUCGCUCAUCAAUCGUAUAUUACAAAUUUGACGUAUGACGGAAGAAGCACUCGUAGUCCUCUGUGUCAGGAAGUAACAAAAAUCAUGCACCUAGAAAUACAACACAAAAUAUGCUACAACAACAGUGUUGGUAUUAAUACUUCCCAAGCUUAUAAUAUUGGUGGAUAAUCGCCAAAUGGUGUAACAAGUGUAUCAGCAACAACAAGUUAUACAUAUUCAAAUUCACAAUAAAAGUAAAAUCGCACAACGCAACAGGCAAAUAACAAGGCAUCGGAUGAUGUACUAUAAAUUACAUCGAGCUUUUAGAAUAGCUCUUUUAACACUUACAUUUAUUUAAUUUAUCAUUUUCAAUAUUGUGAUUGUUAAUUUAUAAAUUUUGAACGUAAGCAAUAGCACUAAAUUUAUUAAUAUAAAUGUAAAAUAUUGUUAAAUUAGUAUCUAUAUACAAAUGAAUCUACGAAUAUACAUAUGUAACAAUUGUAAUAGUAGUGAAUUUUAAUUUGUAUUGUAUAACAACAAAAAAAAACAAUAAUUAAAACUUUUGAGACAUUGUAAAUUAUAAAAAUUUAAUAAUUAAUACUAACUUUAUAUGUAAAAUAUGUAAAUUUUGUCAAUGUAUAAAUGAUUGCCGU